rnacentral:rRNA from 1 species
CACGUAGGGGGCAAGCGUUGUCCGGAUUUAUUGGGCGUAAAGAGCUCGUAGGCGGUUCGGUAAGUCGGGUGUGAAACCUCCAGGCUCAACCUGGAGACGCCACCCGAUACUGCUGUGACUAGAGUCCGGUAGGGGAGCGUGGAAUUCCCGGUGUAGCGGUGAAAUGCGCAGAGAUCGGGAGGAACACCCGUCGCGAAGGCGGCACUCUGGGCCGGUACUGACGCUGAGGAGCGAAAGCGUGGGGAGCAAACAGG